CAAAACCUGUCUCAAGAGAAAACAAAACAAGAAAUGCCACAGGACGGAGACUCCAUUAUUUCAAGUAGAUGUUCAGGAUGCGGGGCUGGAGGGCAGGGGGUUGGAGCAGCAGGGCAGGCGAGCAUAGCAAGAAACUUUUAAGUCCCAUCGUUCUUAAAUUCUACAAGGAGUUAACAUAGAAAGAGGAAACAGAGUUUAGUUCCAGCCCUGGAUCCUUCGCAACAGCAUAUGGGGAGGAAUAAGACAGAAGAACGCCAAAGAUUAGAGAAGCCAUCAGAUGGCUGCCACUCAGAGUCAGGAAGUACUUGAGCAUAUGCGAGUCCAAGAGGUAAGUGAUGCCUGCUUGUAAGUGCCAGCUAACUAAUUACUCUUCAAACAAAUCAUCAAAGCUUUUUCCAGCAGGAAAAUGAUGUGUUAGGAGCACGCGUUCUUGGCAGAUGAAUCUGAUGCCCGUGCAUGCUUUGAGGUCUGGGAUUUGGGCUGAGGGGAACACAGGCCAUCCCCCAAGGAGCCUUCACCCUCCUCACGGGUCACAGUGGUCACCUCUGCACAUGGAGCUGGAGGAGCAGGCAAGAUGCCCCUCACAUCUCUCUACAGGUAAUCUCCUGUAAUGGGAGGAUUUUGUGCAAUUUCUGCUUCCCUUUUGUGCGUGCACACUCGCUCGCGGUUCUGGAUUUUUCAAAUGAUUGUUUUAAUUCCACACAGCCUCCCAGAUUCGAGUUAACCCUUUGUAAACUAUCGCUUCUGAUUGGUUUGUUCUCUUUCGUCCUCAGAAAAGGGGUGGGGGGAAAAUAGGGGCGAUGGCAGAGCCCUCUGGGCUUUCUGAAGUACUCUGCAUAGAAGUUGAGAGAGCCUGGUUUUCUACCUCUUCAAAAGGGCCUCCGCCUAGUUAAUUCUGUUCCCAUAGCUGCUCGCUGCAGGACUCAGCCCACCUCGAUUCUUUAAAGGUUUUAUUAUUAUUUAUUUAUUUAUUUAUUUAUUAUUUGUUUGAAAGUGCCUGUGUGAGGAUGUUGUAUCCUGGAGUUACACAUAGUUGUGAGCCACCCUGUGGUUACUCGGAUUUGAACUCAGGUCCUCUGGAAGAGCAGUCAGUGCUCUUAACCACUGAGCCAUCUCUCCAACCCCAUUUCUUUAAAGGUUUUAACAGCACCGCGCGCUUAUUUUUUUAACCAAGGUGGCAGAGCUAGACCGAGAAAGGCAAUCUACAUGAUUUUUGUUGAAGAAAUCAACUCAACCCAGCCAGAUGGUAAGCUACCACACAGGCCAGAGAGAGGGAAUUCCUCAGACCCUCUGCAGUGAGAGGCCUGGCACACAGGCUGGGCUUGGCUCCGCCUCCUGACAGCUAUCUUCAAGCACCUGACCUCGGCUUUCUUAGGUCAAUUUUCUCAUCAUGAAAAUUGGAGGUAAUGAUAGCAUUUAUCUCCCUACCGUUGUUAAGUAGAUUGGAUGACAAUGAAAAGCAUUUAAUAAGCGUGCUCUAUCAUUAGUAUUAAUAAGAACAAUAAAAUAAUAAAUCUUUAUGACCAAGCCUUGUUACCCGGAGGCAAAAGUGACUUUAAUGAACUUCUUCUGUCUUGGAUUCCACUGGUGCCUUCGUCUCUGCCAGCCUCUCUGACUAGAUUUCCCCCCCC
rnacentral:sRNA from 1 species